ensembl:lncRNA
GGUGUUCAGAACAAGAAACAAGGCCCCUCACAGCCUGCCAGGGCCUCCUCCUUUGCCCAUGGUUGUAGAGACUCCCUGGCCCUACAGGUCCCACCAGCUCCUCGCCCACCCUCCCCCACCCUUCCUGUUACCAUGGUGACAGUCGGCAUCCCAGGCUGCGGGCUGCGGGCUGCACUCCCCUCACCCCUCCUGCUGGCUCUGGAGGAGCAGGCGGGCUUUGUCAGGGCUCAGCGUCUCCCUGCAGCUGUGAGAUUAGACAGAGAAGAAAAGAGGCUGCCGUGGGUGCCACUGGGGCCCCUUGAGGCCUGGAACAGGGAGGCAGGGCCACUCCAGACCACCAGCCCCGAGCUCGUGGGGUUCCUGCCAGCCUCACCCUGGACUAACUGCCCACAGCACAGCGUGCCCAGAAGGAGGAGGCCCGCGGCGCCCCAGCGUGGGAGACUGGGGUGACAUCCUGCUCCUUGGUGACCUGCUUGGGGUCUCAGGCAGCAAGCUGUCCCAGGCAGGAGUGGCCAAUGGGGCUGCCCAGGCCUGUGGGUACCCCCUGGCUCUGCUUGUUUGCGAGUUUCAUGGGUUUCCUGGCCAAGGGAAGGCGGACAGUGGUGCUGUGAAUAGAUUCCAGUUCUCUCUAGCUAUCUUCUCCCAGAGCUGCCAGCAUAUCAGUGCCCUGAAAGUAAGCCCUCUAAAUAAGCAGAGCUGUUGCGUUCUGAACUGCGUUUGGUUGAUCAGGAGCAAAGAUGAAGGAACUGAACAGGAAAGAAAGAGUCCAAGUGACUGUGCAAAUGCCACCAGGCCAACUCUGAUGUGGGUGGAGCCUGAGCAUGCAGAGGAGACCCUAAUCUCCCUGGGCUCAGCCAUGUUCUGCUUGAGGCUGUGCAGUUGCCAGAACAAUGUUGGAAUCACUCUGUAUCCAGACACCUGGACCUGAAGAGUGGGGCAAGGCCACUCUUAUUUCCUUACUCCUUCAUGUAGCUCUUUAUUUACACAAUGACAUUUUUUUUUCUUACAGGGUUAAAAAAAAAAAAAGCGUCCCAGACACAGCACUUUCCUUUCAGUGUCGAUCAUCAGAGCUCUUUGUUAAAGAUAAGAGGUUGCUUCCACUUCAGGCUUGAAUGUCACUGCAGCCUAUGCCAGGGCCUCUCUGUAAUUAUCCUGUCCUGUCUGGAAAGCUCUUAAAUGCCACUUCAUCUAAGGGCUUGAGGCCGAGAUUGCUUCUCCAGUGCGAUGCCAAAGGCUCCUCUUGGCUGAGAUGACUAAACUGUCAAAUAUUUUUAGAGCAAGUCUUCUUUUAAAAAAUAAAUAAGAAAAGUAAAGUGAGUGAUGAUUAAUC